rnacentral:sRNA from 1 species
GUUAGUCUGUUUCUGCGUUUACUUCUAAGUUAGUCCCAAUUAUGGAGUACAUAUCUCAUACAUAUCUUAUAUAUACGAAAAGUGAUAUCUGAUCUCAUCUCAUGUAUGUUGUGUUUCUUACACCAUUAUGAAUACUAUCUGGCCUUUACAGGUUCGUCCUGUAGUGAAAGAAGUACUAGACACAUUUUGGGUAGGUGCUUAGCUAGGAACCAAAUAAAAACUGAAAGACCCUCGGCAAUUUUUGUCGCUAGGCAUGCUUAAAUAACCAUAGCUUUCUGCUUUCCACAUUUCACAAAUUAAGUAAAAGUGGAGGAACAAGUCGAAUUUUUAUGAUAGAAACAAUGGGAAGAUGGCAAGGAACAUUUUGCAUUGGCAAAUAUUAUUACAGGGAGGCACUAUUCGAACACAGCAGAUUUUCUCAUUCAGGCUAGUCUACGUCAGCUUCUCGGAAUCCUUUUUCUCUACGAUUUUGAUGAAAUUGCGGACAAUUGUCUUGCCCUCAGUUGUUAUAAUACUCUCCGGAUGAAAUUGAACUCCCUGUGAACAAUGUUUACAAGACUUCAAGAGUUCUGUUUUGAAUGGAGGGGGCAAUAAGAUUACAGUACACACUUGUGCGGGUUUUACCUGUAUAUGCUUGUACUUUCUGUGACGGGCAGCCAUAACCAGACCAUCUUCUGUCCAUGCUGUAACCUCGAGCUCAUCACUAGGAAAUGUAUCUUUUUCGAUCACGAGACUGUGAUAUCUACCUACAAUGAAAGGGCUGAAACCAACCAGAUUUGUUUUAUUACACAUUUUUACAGACUUAUGAUUAACUAUAUUAGACAACACACAAAAAAAAUUGAUUUUGAUUCAUACUUUGAUAAUCCAGAGAACAAGCCUUCUUCUCCUUUCUCAUCAUAGUGAACCAUUGAGCUUUUCCCAUGCAUAACACCAAAUGGUGACCGCACAAUCUUUCCUAAUCAAUGUUCAAACAAAAUUGCAUUUAAGCUGUGGAUGCAUAGAAUAAAGAACAAAACCAUGUUUGAACACUGAUACGGGAAAAUAAGAUGUCUUGUUUAUAUGCAACUAACCUCCAAAUGCUUCUCCUAUACACUGCAAACCCAUACAUACUCCAAAUAAAGGAACAAGUGGUCCGAGUUCCAAAACAGUUUGCAAGGAAAUCCCAGAGUCUUGAGGGGUACCUAUCAAAUUCAAGAAAAGUGUUAUCCACUUCUCCAGCAUAUAAUUAUAGGAGAAAUUUCAGAGGCCAAAAUAUUUACCAGGUCCAGGAGAAAUCAACACUCCUCUUGGAUUUUUUCUGCAAGAGGGAGAGAAUGAUAAAGGAAUGAACAUCAGUCGAUUAGCCAGAUUACGUUUUAAACAGAAUGCAUAUAGUUUCUUCUUACCUUUUCAGCUCUUCUACUGUAAGUUCAUCAUUGCGGUAAACUUCAAAAUGGCAUUGUAGCUCUCCCAUAUACUGUAGAAAUAGAUAGCAAUUCUCAAAAUUUUGUUUAUACUAAAGCAGAAGAAACCAUAUCAAGAGAACGAUCACAAUAAAUAGUAUGCACCUGACACUAUUCUGCGUGGAGAACUAGAAGUAAGACAUGAUCAAAUUGUAUAUUUGGUAUCUAUGUGCGUUAAGUCAGAUAUUCAGAGCAGCCAAAAUCUCAUGAGAAAGCGAGAUAUUUCAACUAGGAAUAACAAAUCUAAAGUCAAAAAUAGCAACUCAGGAAAUCGCCAAUUCAAACUUUGAACAUGAUUAAAGAUUCUACUUAAAAGACCAGACUUUAGGCAGCAAAGAAGUGAUGUGUUAGCUUUUGCUGGAUCAACAAUUACUCCUUACAACGACAAACAAGCAACGAGGAGCUUUCGACAAUAAGAUUCGAUGGCACGACAUAGCAACGACUCUGAUCACAUUAACAACAGAUGGUCAACAUUACAUAGUCUUAUCUAUUAGCAAGUCGAAAGUAGAUUGGAUUGUGAACUAAUGAGAUUCUAACAUUCAAUCACAAUGCAUAUACUUGAAUACAUUUCUAACAAAAUGCAAAUUCAGCUGCUUUCACAUCAAAAAUCUAACGAGCCUAGUAAGAUUUGAGAUUGUGUUAGAAAUGAAACCUGGCAGAGAUUGUAAGUGAAGCUGUCGUAAUUAUCAAUCACGAUGAUAGGACCAUUCUGUUUAGAGGAAUUGAUAACAACGGAAGGUAUCGAAUUCGAUUCUGCCAUUUCAAUAGAAGCUUCAGCAAAUGUACAUCUCUACGACUCUUCCCCAAAACUGAAAACUCCUAUAUCACAGAAGUAUAUUUGGGAUCUAAGUGAGAUAUUCAGAGCAGCCAACAAGGAAUAACCCAAUCUAACAAUAGCAACUCAGAAAAUCACCAAUUUUCAAACUUUAAACAAGAUAAAAGACUUAAAAGACCAGACUGUAGGCAGCUAAGAAGUAAUGUAUUAGCUAUUGCUGAAUCAAAAAUUACUCCUGGCAAGGACAAAGAAGCAAGGAGGAGCUUUUUCAAAUAUAUACAAAACCAAAAAAAAUUACUCAUCUAGAGAACUAGUCUUACGUGAAUAAGAUUCGAUGGUGCCGCAUAACGACUCAGUCUGAUCACAUAACAAGAGAGAAAUUACAUUACAUAGUCUUGUAUAUAAGCAAGUCGAGACUAGAUUGAUUGUGAAAUAAAGAGAUUCUAACAAUCAAUCGAGAUGCAUACUUGAAUACAAUUCAUAUGAAUCAAGGACUUGCAAUUAGCCAGGACCCUAAUUGAUUAAGACAUGGUUGACCAAAAAAACAAAA